rnacentral:rRNA from 1 species
GUGUCAGCAGCCGCGGUAAUACGUAGGUGGCGAGCGUUGUCCGGAUUUACUGGGCGUAAAGCGCGCGCAGGCGGCUGUUCAAGUCCGAUGUGAAAUCUUCCGGCUUAACUGGAAAACGGCAUCGGAUACUGGACGGCUGGAAGGUGGGAGAGGGUAGCGGAAUUCCCGGUGUAGUGGUGAAAUGCGUAGAUAUCGGGAGGAACACCAGUGGCGAAAGCGGCUACCUGGCCCACUCUUGACGCUGAGGCGCGAAAGCUAGGGGAGCAAACGGGAUUAGAAACCCCCGUAGUCC